AUACGUAGGGGGCGAGCGUUGUCCGGAAUGAUUGGGCGUAAAGGGCGCGUAGGCGGCCCGGUAAGUCUGGAGUGAAAGUCCUGUUUUUAAGAUGGGAAUUGCUUUGGAUAAUGUCGGGCUUGAGUGCAGGAGAGGUAAGUGGAAUUCCCAGUGUAGCGGUGAAAUGCGUAGAGAUUAGGAGGAACACCAGUGGCGAAGGCGACUUCCUGGGCUGUAACUGGCGCUGAGCCGCGAAAGUGUGCGGAGCAAACAGGAUGAGAUACCCUGGUAGUCCACAUUGUAAACGAUGAAUUCAAGGUGUAGUGGGUAUCGCCCCCGUCUGCGCCGCAGUCAACACAAUAAGCGUUCCCGCUGGGGAGUACGGCCUCAAGGUUGAAACUCAAAUGAAUUGACGGGG
rnacentral:rRNA from 1 species